CUUCCGCUUUCGCCGCUCCUCCCCCUCCCCUUACUCCGGCUCCUCCAACCUCCUCCCCCUUUUCCCGACUCCCGCCCGACUGCGCAGCCGCGAUCCCGGAGGGAGCGCUCCAGGCCUGGCGCGCACCCGACCCCUUGCGCGUUCCGGCUCCGCGCGCCUGCCAGGUCGGGGCCGGCGGCGGAACAGCUUGGGACCCGAAACGCCUCGGCUUUUCUGUGGACCUGCGCCCGGCCGCUGCUGCCGGACGCUUGAAAAGAGGCAGAGUCUUGCUUUGUUGUCCAGGCUGGUCUUGAACUCCUGAGCUCAAGUGAUCCUCCCGCCUUGGCCUCCCAAAGUGCUGAGACUACAGAGAGAGAAUGCUAAUGAGCUGUGAAAUGACCAAAGAUCUGGCAGCAGAAGGGAAAAGAAAAAAUAACGGAUGGAUUCUCGCUCUGUUGCCCAGGCUGGAGUGCAAUGGCAUGAUCUCAGCUCACUGCAACCUCUGCCUCCCGGGAUCAAGUGAUUCUCCUGCCUCAGCCUCCUGAGUAACUGGGAUUACAGGAACAAGAGGAUUUAUCUGACUCAACUGGAGAUGGCUCCCUUCCCUAAUUUAUUGUUGCAUCCUGAAGCUUCCCCCAUGCUGGGCUCGGUGUGAACAAACAGCGCGGGAGAAUGCAACCACUGCAGAGGAGCAGAGCAAGAAAUUGUUCCCGCCCUGCUCUCAGAAGGAACCAUCACUCAACUGCUCUACUCUGCUCUGGCUCUGAGUCCUGUACUUUUCCUAGGCUUUUAAUUUUUACUGCGUACCUUCCAUCAGCCUUCCUACUGAAGGCUGUAUGCCAGCUGACGUCUAUGCACAGCAAGGUGGCUUCUGGGACACCUGCUUCAAACAGGUAUCCAGCUAACUGCUCCCCACCAAACCCUGCCAGGCAUAUGUUUGAGAUGCCUGGCCACUGGAGGUCAUCUCGUCUGCUAUGUUCACCACAGAUAAAUAAUGAAAAGAGAAUACACAACCUUGUGAUUGCUAGCAGUGAAAGCUCAGAGUUAUGACAUAACAGAAUUGGCUCAUGUGACUAUGGAGGCUGAGAUGUCCCAAAAGCUGGAUACCCAGGAGAAGCAAAGAGUGAUUGAUCAUACUGUAAAACUCAAAUGUGAAGGGAAGGCUGGAACCUACUGGAAACUGAAGACCUAACGCAAAGAAGGAACUUUUAGGAACUAGCAGAGACUUCAAAAUGUUGAGAACUCUCUUUUUUCAUAAGAGAAGAUAAAAACUCUGAUGGUCACACUCAUAAAGACAAAAAACAAAUAACAAACAAACAAAAACUCAGAAUCACAAGAGCAAAGAAAAUAUGGGUAAAACAAUAACAAAAGAGGUAAAGAAAUGUAUGUGAAUUGGGACACUCUGGGGCACAGAACAGAAGAGGAGAAGAAAUAUGAAAGUAAUCCUGUGCCCAAGGAUGUAAGGAUGUCUGAGUGUCCUUGAUUCCAAGGGCAUUUAAAAUUAGCCACUGGAUGAGAACCAUGAAAUGCCACGACUCUUACAGCUCCCAUGAAAGACAUUGGAUGGAGCUUAUCCUAACUGGACCAAAUUCUAAAAAAUUUUACAUGAUAUUAUAAUGAGUUGAAAGUUGAAAAAAAAAAAAGCUUUUCUAGAUUACCAAGAAUAAAACACAAAUUUCUAGCUGACUGAAUUAAUUCUCAUCUCUCUAUAGAAAGAUCAUAGAAAUUUUUUUUUAUCAUGCAAAGAGAUAGCUAAAAAUUUACAAAAAUAUAGAAGUGUGUUAGGCAGCUCAUGAGUAAAUGCGUUUUUUCCUUUUUUCCUCCAGAAUUUUGUGAUGUUUAUGGUACUUUUCGGCUUUUAAAAUUUUGUAUUUAAUCAGGAUUUAUUACUUCAUUGUAAGUAAAUAUUAAAUUUGUACUCCAUCUUUGUUUGUAAUUUUGUAUAUUUUUCAGUAAAAAGGACUCCCCAGGUUAUGUAAGCUUUAGGCCCCACAAAAUCUAGGCCUGUUGCUGUAUCCUUUCUAGAGCAGUGUUUCUCAAACUUCAAUGUGCAUUUGAAUCUCCUGGGGCUCCUGUUAAAAUAUAGCUUCUGAGAUGAUGCAUUUCUAACAGACUCCCAGGGCUGACACUGCCCAUCUGGGGACCACACUUUGAGAAUCAAAGAUCUAGAACAAUGGUUCUUACCUGGCUGUGCAUUGGGAUCGCUUAUAGUGCUUUUGGAAAAUACAUUGUGUCCAGGUCCCACCCAGUUCUCAGUAGGCUUGGAAUGGGGUCCUACACUUUUUUUUUUUUAACUCCACAGUUUGGGAAAGAAGCCUUUUCAUAUAUUGUUGGUGGGAGUACAAAUUGAUACAGCCAUUUUUGAGCUUGAUUUGGCAAUAUCUUCCUUGGAGAAAUCAAAAGCCAGUUGGCAAGCCAGUCUGGAAAAGGCAGUUUACUGAUUGCCACCCGAGGGUCACAAAGCAGGUAUAGAAGGAUGGGCUUUGGCUGAAAUAUAUGAUGGGUACAGGUAUAUUCUCUAUAAUCCAGUAUUUCCACUUCUAAAAAUGUAUCCUAGUAACAUUAUACAUGUCAAGCCUACAUAUAAAGUUGUUCAAUUCCAUAUUAUUUGUAGUAGGGGAAAACUGAAAGCAGUCUACAUGCCCAUCAAUAGAUUAUUCAAAUUAUGGAACAGUUUUCCGAUGACAUAACAAUAGCUAAUCUUAGUUAAGCAAUUAUUAUGUUAUGUAAGGUAGACAUUGUUCUACCUUAUUUAUAAGUAUUAACUAAGUUAGUUUUUAUAACUAUCAUAUUUCCAUUUUACAAAUGACAUAAUUUAUAUUAUUGACAUGGGAAGAUGUCUAAGGAUAUAAUAAGCAAAAAGCAAGUAGCAGAACAUUAUGUAUAUUAUGCAUUACCAUUAUAAUAUACUGAAAAGUAAUGCACUUGAUAUUGAUGCACACUCCCCAGUAGGUAACAACUGAUCUAGUGUAAAAAUGAAAGAACAUUCUGGGCCGGGCGCGGUGGCUCACGCCUGUAAUCCCAGCACUUUGGGAGGCUGAGGCGGGUGGAUCACAAGGUCAGGAGAUCGAGACCAUCCUGGCUAACAUGGUGAAACCCCGUCUGUACUAAAAAUACAAAAUAAAAUUAGCUGGGCAUGGCGGCGGGCGCCUGAAGUCCCAGCUACUCGGGAGGCUGAGGCAGGAGAAUGGCGUGAACCCGGGAGGCGGAGCUUGCAGUGAGCGGAGAUCGCGCCAUUGCACUCCAGCCUGGGCGACAGAGCGAAACUCCGCCUCAAAAAAAAAAAAAAAUUCUGUUACCUCAAACAAGCUGUUUUCAUGCGAUUUAGUUAACUGGUAUCACUUUCAGAAGAAGACAAAGUAAAAAUGGUUAGGUCAGUUUGGUGGUGUAGAGUAUUCUAUCGAUCAAUGGUCAAAAGAGUAGUCAUUCUGAGUGAUCUCUAAUAUUAGGGUUGAUGGAAGAAAUGACCCAUAGAUGUCCCUACAUCUCAUUUCUCUUAGGACACACACUUGGGAGAAAUCGUCCAGUGCACUUUGUCCAGGCCUUUCACUCGUACCAACUACUUUGCAUUAUGCUGUUUUCACUUUAGUGGUUCUGCCUUCUAGUCCACAGAAAAGUUUUUUCUUAACGUAUUUUUUUCCCAACACUUUGUUAUGGGAAUUUUCAAACACACAGAAAAGAUGAAAGAAAUUUACAGAGAAUACUCGUGUCUCUAUCAGCUAGAUUCUGCAGUUAACAUUUUACUAUUCUAGUUUUAUUGCAUAUCUAUUUAUCUCCCCGUGCAUCCAUUGAUCCAAUUCAUCUUUAGGAUGCGUUUCAAAGCAAGUUGCUGACAUCAGUACCCUUCCCCCUCAAUACUUUAGUAUGUGCAUCAAUAACCCUAGUUUAAGAUUUGUUGAUUCUUUUUCUUUCCUUUUGAAGUAAAAUCUACACACAAAGAAAUGCGCACAUCUUAAGUCGACCAUUUGAUGAGUUUUGAGUAAUGUCUACAUUGGGUAACUCAAACCUCUAUCAAGAAAGAACAUUACCAUACCUGAGAGUAUCUUCAUGCUCCUCCCCUGGGGUACUCCCUGCCCCUCCACACCAAUCCCCCCAGGUAACAACUGUUCUGAUAUCCCCCUCACCAUAUAUAACUGCUCUAGAACAUCAUGUAAAUGGAAUGAUACAAUAUGUCUUUUGUAUAAGCUUUAUUCCACUCAGCAUAAUGUUUUUGCCAUUAAGUACCUUGCUCCUUCUUAUUACUGAGUAGUAUUAGAUUGUAUAAACAUAGCGUAGUCUAUUUUCCUAUUUUGAUGGAUUCGUGGGCUUGUUCUGAUUUUUGCUUAUUAUGAAUAAAACUUCUGAGUAUUCCUGUACAAGUAUUUUUGUGGACAUACAUUUUCAUUUCUCUUGGCAAAAUACCUAGGAAUGGAAUUGCUGGGUCAUAGGGUAUACUUUUAGUUUUGUAAGAAGCUGUCAGAUCUCUUCCCAAAGUGGUUGUAACAUUUUACACUCCUACUAACAGUGCAUGGGAAGCCAGUUUCUCUACAUCCUCUCCAACAUUUGGUGCUGUCAA